rnacentral:rRNA from 1 species
UACGAGAGCUACGAGCGUUAUCCGGAAUUAUUGGGCGUAAAGGGUGCGUAGGUUGUCCUGUUAGUCUUCUGUUAAAUUCUUCGGCUUAACCGGGGGCAUGCGGAGGAAACGGCAGGACUUGAAAGUGCGAGGGGUGUACGGAACUCAUGGUGUAGGGGUGAAAUCCGUUGAUAUCAUGGGGAACACCGAAAGCGAAGGCAGUACACUGGCGCAUAUUUGACACUGAAGCACGAAAGCGUGGGUAGCGAAUGGG